CCUGGCACCUUUGUGCCUGCUUAAGCCCCCUGGCCAGAGUGACCCCCUGUAGCUGGGGCGUGUCACGGCCUUGGUCCCUGGGCCAGUUGUGGAGCCCCUCAGUGUGCUGAGGCCCCUCUGGCCUCUGCAGAGCCCGGGGCAGGGCUGAGGCUCUGCUCUCCUGCCCAGAGGGAGGGAUGGCUCCCCACGCGUUGGCUGCACAGAGCCUGCUCCCUCUUCUGGGACGUUCCCCCUUUGUGUUUUUGUCUUUGUCGGUGUGAGUGAGCAAGUGAGCUUGUGUUUUAUCCCCCAUAGCAAAAGUGAGGCUAGUGUAGCUUAGACUUCCCAGGAGGGAAAGAGGGGCUCUGUGCAGCAACCGGGGGGUGCCCUCUGAACCCACGGGUGGAGACAGGGCCCAGCCUUGCCCCUUCUUCCCCAGGACAGAGCGAAGCCCGUUAGUGGCGGUGCAGGCACCGUGACCCGCCUGUAGCCAGGGCGUGGGCGUGUGCCUGCGCUGCGGGGCUGCCUGUCCUGCUGGUGAUGUGCCAGCGUGAUCCCCCCCCCCCGGCCUUAGGCCGUCAGGCCACUGUUGGGAGUGCCGGGCCUCGGGGGCGGCCCUGUAAGUGGGGCUUUGUGCGUCCCCCGUGCCCGGCGGGCGGUUGGAGGGACCCCCUGUAACCAGGCGAGUGUCCCGUGGGGUCCCCACCCUUUCACAGGCGUGGGGCUGGGCGUGUGCCCUCCCUGUCCUCGGGGGAAGGCCGAGCUCCGUGGCUCCCUGGGUGUGAACCCGCCUGUAAGCAGGGUCCGGGUCUGGGAACCUUUGUGCUCCCUCAGCUGGCAGCCUGUGCGGGGCGACCGCCCCGUUAGCGGGGAGCGGGUCAGAUGCCCCCGAAGCGGAGAGAAGGAGCCUCCGCGGGCCUUUGGGCCCAGGGCUGCCCUGUAAGUCGGGGCCAGUGCCCUGGAGUCCCGGGCACUUUGCGCUCCAGGCAGCGGCCGGAGCCCCCUGUAAGCAGGGGUGCAGCCUCUUUGGCCACUGCUUUGCAUGCCCAGCUGCCUUUGCCCAGAGGGCCCGGCUCCCAGCAGCGGAUGGGACUGCGUCGCUCUGAAGCCGUCGGAGAAGAAAGAAGACACAGGAGUGGAACUUCGAGGCAAGAGCGAAGAAGAGGAGCAGCAGCGUCGAGCUCAAGAGGGGGCACGACAGGGACCCUCUGGGCAAAUGCACCUCCCUGGCCCCCCCCGGGCAGGGAUCCGUAAGAGUCCAGCGGGCACCUUCAGGCUGCCCCGGCUGGCUUUGCGCUGGGCGACCUCCCUGUAAGCAGGGCUGGGUCUUUGA